UACGUAGGGUGCAAGCGUUAAUCGGAAUUACUGGGCGUAAAGGGUGCGUAGGCGGUUCGUUAAGUCUGUCGUGAAAUCCCCGGGCUCAACCUGGGAAUGGCGAUGGAUACUGGCGAGCUAGAGUGUGUCAGAGGAUGGUGGAAUUCCCGGUGUAGCGGUGAAAUGCGUAGAGAUCGGGAGGAAUACCCGUGGCGAAGGCGGCCUGCUGGGAUACACCUGACGCUGAGACACGAAGGCGUGGGGAGCGAACGGG
rnacentral:rRNA from 1 species